rnacentral:rRNA from 1 species
UACGGAGGGGACUAGCGUUGUUCGGAAUUACUGGGCGUAAAGCGCGCGUAGGCGGAUUUGUAAGUCGGGGGUGAAAUCCCGGGGCUCAACCUCGGAACUGCCUUCGAUACUGCAAAUCUCGAGUCCGGAAGAGGUGAGUGGAAUUCCUAGUGUAGAGGUGAAAUUCGUAGAUAUUAGGAAGAUCACCAGUGGCGAAGGCGGCUCACUGGUCCGGUACUGACGCUGAGGCGCGAAAGCGUGGGGAGCAAACAGG